CUGUUAUUAGCUGAGCAGAGCUACAGAAAUAUAAAUCUUAUUUUGUGUUUGUAGUCUGAUCGAUUCUCUUUUUGCGGGAUCUGUGAUCACGUUGCAGAAAUGAAGAUCUGGAGCACGGAGCAUAUAUUCAGCUACCCCUGGGAAACAGUAAUCAAAGCGGCAAUGAGAAAAUACCCCAACCCCAUGAACCCCAGCGUGGUAGGAGUGGACGUUCUGGAUAGAAACAUGGACAAGCACGGUCGCCUUCACAGUCAUCGUCUCCUGAGCACCGAGUGGGGCCUGCCGAGUGUGGUCCGAGCGAUUUUGGGAACAAGUCGUACCCUAACUUAUGUUAAAGAGCAUUCCAUUGUCGACCCUGAUGAGAAGAAAAUGGAGCUUUGCUCGACAAAUAUAACCCUUACUAAUUUAGUAUCUGUAGAUGAGAGACUAGUUUACAGACCACAUCCAGAAAAUCCAGACGUCACAAUAUUAACCCAGGAGGCGAUAAUCAGAGUGAAAGGAGUGAGUCUGAGCAGUUACCUUGAGGGACUGAUGGCUGUUAGUAUGUCUGCUAAUGCAAGAAAGGGUUGGGAUGCGAUUGAGUGGAUCAUUAAAAACUCAGAACGGGAGAAUGUGCCAUUAUGUGAUGUCUGCUGAACAGUCAAAACCUCUUCAGUUUUAAUUAAAGGCCGUGUGUGUGUGUAAGUGAGUGAGAAGAGAGAGAGAGAGAGAUCAGCCACCUUCUCAGCAUCACCAACUCUAGAAUCACAGCUCAUCCAUCUGACUUCGCAUAACUUUAUGUGUUUGACCUUCGUAGCCAAUUACCCUGAUUGCGUUACGCUUCACCUCUACCGAUACAACCCUCCACUGCCGACUGAGGAGCUUCGCCACUGACACGUCUCCUCCGACACAUGCAUAGUACCGACUGCUUCUUUUCACCUGCACGAGGCGAGUUCAUAUGUGGAUCAGCGUUGUGUACGGAGAGCCACACCCUGAUAAGCAGUGGUCAUAAUUGCACCAGUUAUGAGGAACCCUGGUCCGGCUCAUCCCACCCUGAACAACAGCCAAUCGUUGUUCACAUGGCCGCCCAGCCCAGACGGAUGGCAGAGCUGAGAUUCGAUACGAUGUAUUCGAAAUCCCAGCUCUGGUGUGCUAUCGUGUUUUACUGCUGCGCCACCUGUGCAGCAAAUAAUUUCUUUUUUUUUAAUGAAACAAUAUGACCAAUUCAUGGUGUGUAAAACCUAUUAUUUCCCAAUGCAUUGCCAUUACAAUGAAACCACCUACGUUCAGGUGGAGGAUUACUCUCAACUUUGCUCUAUUUGAUAUAGCAGUGGCUUUUAGCAAAGCUUGUUAUGCAUAGUGCUCUGCACAACCCUGGUUCAAAUCUGCCAGAAAAAAAAAAAAAAAAAAAAAAAUUAUUCCAUGUCUGAAUCGUCCCAAUGUUCAAAUUUGCUCCCCAACAGCCAAAAACUAAUUUGUUCAGCAAUUUUUGGCUCAUUUCCUAUGACUGUAGCUCUGCUGCAACUGUGUAGUAAAAGCAUUCCUUAUCACUGCAUGAUCGGGUCAGCAAAAAUGCACUACAGACCCCCUCAAAACUGUAAACAAAUGCACAGUACUAAAUUUUUACUGACUUUUGGACAGAUUUUAUUUAGAUUACAAUUACACCGAUCAGCCAUAACAUUAAAACCACC